rnacentral:pre_miRNA from 2 species
GAAUCUUGUCAUACUUUUCCACAGCUUUCUUGAACUUUACGUGUACGGGACGAGGAGAUUCUGAUUUCUACGUCUGCGAUUAAAGUUCAAGAAAACUGUGGGAAAGCAUGGUAGGAUUC